rnacentral:rRNA from 1 species
UACGUAGGUGGCAAGCGUUGUCCGGAUUUAUUGGGUUUAAAGGGUGCGUAGGUGGUUUGCUAAGUCAGUGGUGAAAGCUGGUUGCUCAACAAUCAAGUUGCCAUUGAUACUGUCAGACUUGAGAGAAGUGGAGGCUCAUGGAAUGGAUGGUGUAGCGGUGAAAUGCAUAGAUAUCAUCCAGAACGUCGAUUGCGAAGGCAGUGGGCUGUACUUUUUCUGACACUGAGGCACGAAAGCGUGGGGAUCAAACAGG